rnacentral:rRNA from 1 species
CCUACGGGAGGCAGCAGUGAGGAAUAUUGGUCAAUGGACGAGAGUCUGAACCAGCCAAGUAGCGUGAAGGAUGACUGCCCUAUGGGUUGUAAACUUCUUUUAUAUGGGAAUAAAAUGUUCCACGUGUGGGAUUUUGUAUGUACCAUAUGAAUAAGGAUCGGCUAACUCCGUGCCAGCAGCCGCGGUAAUACGGAGGAUCCGAGCGUUAUCCGGAUUUAUUGGGUUUAAAGGGAGCGUAGGUGGAUUGUUAAGUCAGUUGUGAAAGUUUGCGGCUCAACCGGAAAAUUGCAGUUGAAACUGGCAGUCUUGAGUACAGUAGAGGUGAGCGGAAUUCGUGGUGUAGCGGUGAAAUGCUUAGAUAUCACGAAGAACUCCGAUUGCGAAGGCAGUUCACUGGACUGCAACUGACACUGAGGCUCGAAAGUGUGGGUAUCAAACAGGAUUAGAUACCCCUGUAGUC